rnacentral:pre_miRNA from 1 species
GAGUCAAUUAGGUCAGUUGUGUAGUCUGACCCGAGCCAUUGAAGACAAUCAUUUGUUGGUGUCUCAUUGGAUUUGUUACCUGACAGUGUUUAUCCAACAAAUGAUUCUCUUCAAUGGCUCGGUCAGGUUACACAAGCAAUCUAGUUGGCUC